AUGGAAUCGUUCUAACAAAAAAAAAUUAUGACGUCAGCUUGAAAGCGGAAGUUGUGAAUGUGCAGUGAAAUGCUUCUGCCCAAUAUUUGGCGUCUCUAUGUAACCUUGGGUCAAUAUUCGGACAGCACAUUUUGGACUCGUGUUAUUAAGGCUUUUAAGACGAGAUGCAGUGAAAAUCCUAGGAGUUUCUGCAUAAUAUUAGGACGACACCUCGUAGUUCGUAGCUGUUUGCAGAUAACCCAGCUGCUAAUUGUGGACGUCACUGAACAUGACGAAGGAUACUUUGUUUCUAAAGUUAAGAUGGUUUUCUACGAUAUCUUUUUUUUCAUCUAUGAUAACUGUGAUAAUAGAAGCUUGUUAUUACAGAGAUUAUAAAGACGAUUUAAUACGAAUAUUAACUUUGUAUGUAUUAACUCUGUGGUUUACCGAUGGGGAUUUUGUGGCAUACGUUACGAGGAAGAAGUUCGAUAAUUGCUUAGCCAAGUUUAUGUUCGAUUUCGGUAAUUUUUCUUUAGCUGUGGUUUUCAUUUUUCUACAGUGGGCUUUUAAUGUGUAUUUCCUGGAUACUGUAUAUAUGGGCAAAGAUCCAACUUUAUUUUGAAGAACUUUCAAGAAAGUGAAUGACAGAACUGUUCAAGCGGAAAGUAUAAUAAUUGCAGCAUUGAGGAGCUGAAAAAUUAAGAAUGGAAACAUUUGAAGAUUAAAAUAAUAUUCAAAUUGUAUUUGCAUCUUCAUUAACUGUUAUUUCAGUUAUUUAGGGAAAGUAAGCUCAAAAACAUGGCACAAUUAAAUAUUUCCUGAACUAUCGUCGACUCCAGUUUGAGAAUUGAGUUAAAUAAAAUAAGCUUUCAUGUUAUAAUUUUGAUUAUAUGGUAUUAUCUUUUAGUAAAAAUGGAAAUCAUUAAGGUUUUUAUAUGGAUCCUAUGAAAAGACAUUUCAAAUUUUCCAUUUACAUAUCUUUUAGAACGGAGAUACAGUUCGUAAAAUGGUGAAUUUGUCCUGACAAAAUGGUAAACAUUAUGCGGCAUAAACGUUCACUUAAAGCAAAAAUGUCGAAUUUAAAGGCUGGAUGAAACUGAAUUUCGCGAAAUACAAAAUUCCAAAUUUCAAUAAUUCCACGCUUCAUUCGUAUCCCGUUAUUAUAUUACUGUCUAUCUUUCAGUUGCUUUUUAUUUGUGUUAUUAGAAUUGCGUGCUAUUCGGCUUCAGAGAGUAGAUUUGAAGAAAACGUAUGAACGAUGUAAAUAAAUCAUAAGCAUCUCAAUUUCAUCUGUUUAUAACUGCAAAUGACCUUCAUCUUAAAUAGGCAAUUUGAUAGUUUCCAGUAAUUACCUUCAAUAUAAAUAUGCUACAGUAUAAAGUAAUACCAAACAAUUGAGUUACAAAAAACAAUUAUGCGCAAUAUUGCAGAAUUAAAUGCAGUUUCUAUGUAUUUGAUGUUGAUUUAUACUGUCUGAUUAAAGCCAAGAGAAAAAAGAAGUGAAAAUAUCUUUUACCAUAAGGAAUAGGAUUGUUAAUAUUUGUGUAAAAGAAAUCCAUUCCGUAUUUUAUUUUAUAUAUAAUUUAUCAUAUACGCAUUCGAAAUGAAUCUUCGUUGUGAUGAUGCAAAUAAUUAAAAUUUUAAAUAAUAAAAAAUAGGAUAAUUUGUUGGUUUAAGCGUGAUAUACAAAUUUCAAACUUGGUCAAAUGAUGUUUGAGAAAACUGCGCAUUUAUUAUUUCUAAAAUUAUGAUUUAUUACUACGCUUUUCAUGUAAAUAUGAAGAAAUGCAAAUACUCCACCUUUUUUUUUCUGAUUGCUGUCAGCAUAAUGGAUGUAAAAUAAUCUGUAUUAAAUUUUUCAUGAAAACUG